rnacentral:rRNA from 1 species
GGACACCGAGCCUCUGUAAAGCUCCUUCGACGAGUCGAGUAGUUUGGGAAUGCUGCUCUAAAUGGGAGGUAUAUGUCUUCUAAAGCUAAAUACCGGCCAGAGACCGAUAGCGCACAAGUAGAGUGAUCGAAAGAUGAAAAGCACUUUGAAAAGAGAGUUAAAAAGUACGUGAAAUUGUUGAAAGGGAAGCGCUUAUGACCAGACUUGGGCUUGGUUGAUCAUCCUGGGUUCUCCCUGGUGCACUCUUCCAGUUCAGGCCAGCAUCAGUUCGCUGCGGGGGAUAAAAGUUUUGGGAAUGUGGCUCCUUCGGGAGUGUUAUAGCCCAUUUCAUAAUACCCUGCUCCGGACUGAGGUUCGCGCAUCUGCAAGGAUGCUGGCGUAAUGGUCAUCAGCGACCCGUCUUGAAACACGGACCAAGGAGUCGUCUUCGUAUGCGAGUGUUCGGGUGUUAAACCCCUACGCGUAAUGAAAGUGAACGCAGGUGAGAGCUUCGGCGCAUCAUCGACCGAUCCUGAUGUUCUCGGAUGGAUUUGAGUAAGAGCAUACGGGGCCGGACCCGAAAGAAGGUGAACUAUGCCUGUAUAGGGUGAAGCCAGAAGGUAUCUGGUGGAGGCUCGCAGCGGUUCUGACGUGCAAAUCGAUCGUCAAAUAUGGGCAUGGGGCGAAAGACUAAUCGAC